GACGAACCGUGCGAACGUUAUUCGGAUUCACUGGGCUUAAAGGGCGCGUAGGCGGUGGACCCAGUCCGGGGUGAAAUCUUUCGGCUUAACCGGAAAAGUGCCUCGGAUACUGGUUCACUUGAGGGAGGUAGGGGCAUGUGGAACUUCCGGUGGAGCGGUGAAAUGCGUAGAGAUCGGGAGGAAGGCCGGUGGCGAAGGCGGCGCUCUGGAACGUUACUGACGCUGAGACACGAAAGCGUGGGGAGCAAACAGG
rnacentral:rRNA from 1 species